GAGAUUUGGGUAGUUUCCAUUUCCCAUUAGCUUAGGGUUUUGGCCACUAGGGCCUUUAUAAAAGCAAGGAAAACAUGAGGGCUCCCAUUUUGGUGGCUGGCCGAGUACCUAGAGAGAGAAAGCGAGCUAGAGGCGUGAGGCUAGAGAGAGAAGGAAAUGAAGAAAAGAAGAAAGCAGAGGAGAAAGAAAGAGAAAAAGAAGAAGGAGGUUUUGAAUUUAGGGGUAUCAAGAGGUUUGAUCAUAGCUUUUGUGUUCUUGAACACUACCGAGGAGGUAGGCAAUAGGGUUUCUUCUUGGUAUGAACUGUGAUGUGGGGAGUUCCAAUGUCUAGGCAUGUAUGACACGGGGUGUCCAUGAGUGAUUAACGAUCUAGACGAACGCCAAGAAAGUUUAUGAACUUUUAUGUUAUGAUUUAUGUUUUCCUUACAUCAUAGUGGGACUUUAUAUUUUAUUUUAUUUUCAAGAUUGCAUAAAGACACUAUAUUUUUAUUUUAAACUAUUGCGCCCAAAUUGCAUGUUUUGACAAGGUCCCAUUGAACC